rnacentral:rRNA from 1 species
GAUGAACGCUGGCGGCGUGCUUAACACAUGCAAGUCGAACGAAGCACUUUAUUUGAUUUUCUUCGGAAACGAAGAUCUAGUGACUGAGUGGCGGACGGGUGAGUAACGCGUGGAUAACCUGCCUCACACUGGGGGAUAACAGUUAGAAAUGACUGCUAAUACCGCAUAAGCGCACAGUACCGCAUGGUACGGUGUGAAAAACUCCGGUGGUGUGGGAUGGAUCCGCGUCUGAUUAGCCAGUUGGCGGGGUAACGGCCCACCAAAGCAACGAUCAGUAGCCGACCUGAGAGGGUGACCGGCAACAUUGGGACUGAGACACGGCCCAAACUCCUACGGGAGGCAGCAGUGGGGAAUAUUGCGCAAUGGGGGAGACCCUGACGCAGCGACGCCGCGUGAGCGAUGAAGUAUUUCGGUAUGUAAAGCUCUAUCAGCAGGGAAGAAAAAAAUGACGGUACCUGACUAAGAAGCCCCGGCUAACUACGUGCCAGCAGCCGCCGCAG